ACACUUACCUGGCAGGGAAGAUACCAUGAUCCUGAAGGGGUUUUCCCAGGGCGAGGCUCACCCAUUGCAUUCCAUGUGCUGACCCCUGCAAUUUCUCCACAUGUGGGAAACUUGACUGCACAAUUUGUGGUAGUGGGGGACUGCGUUUGCACUCUCCCUUG